CUGAGGUGGGGGGAUCACUUGAGCCCAGGAGUUCGAGGCUGUAGUACGCUAUGAUCACACCUGCGAAUAGCCACUGAACUCCAGCCUGGGCAACAUAGUGAGACCUAUCU